GUGUCGGCGCGGGGGUUUCUGUCGCUUCCUCCCGCUUCAUCGGCCUCCGAAGCGGAGCGACGUCAGGAGGCCGAACGAGAC
rnacentral:ncRNA from 1 species